rnacentral:rRNA from 1 species
UACAGAGGUCUCAAGCGUUGUUCGGAUUCAUUGGGCGUAAAGGGUGCGUAGGCGGCGCGGUAAGUCGGGUGUGAAAUCUCGGAGCUUAACUCCGAAACUGCAUUCGAUACUGCCGUGCUUGAGGACUGGAGAGGAGACUGGAAUUUACGGUGUAGCGGUGAAAUGCGUAGAUAUCGUAAGGAAGACCAGUGGCGAAGGCGGGUCUCUGGACAAAGACUGACGCUCAGGUGCGAAAGCGUGGGGAGCAAACAGG